UACGUAGGGACCAAGCGUUGUUCGGAUUUACUGGGCGUAAAGGGCGCGUAGGCGGCUUGACAAGUCACUUGUGAAAUCUCCGGGCUUAACUCGGAACGGCCAAGUGAAACUGUCAAGCUAGAGUGCAGAAGGGGCAAUCGGAAUUCUUGGUGUAGCGGUGAAAUGCGUAGAUAUCAAGAGGAACACCUGAGGUGAAGACGGGUUGCUGGGCUGACACUGACGCUGAGGCGCGAAAGCGUGGGGAGCGAACAGG
rnacentral:rRNA from 1 species